AUGGACAGCAUAGGUUAGUGAACGUAGAAAUAAUUAAAAACUUUCACACGCUUUACCCACGCUAAGGGAAGAACCUCAAAUAUCCUUUUCAUCACACUUGCUCGAAAAAGAUCUUAUUUCAUGCUGGUGUACUGAAGGAAAUUUUUUGACUUAUUUUGUUUCCGCGCCAGUUAUGGAUUGUGAAAAAGAAGAUUUUUUUUUACUAUGUCACUUAUUCAUACAAACCAAGUAGCAUAUUUAGAGUUUUACUUUUAAAAUACUGACGUUUACAAUUUAAUAUUUUUUUUAUGUUUAAAAUUAUUUAAUUUGAUUAAUUUAACAGCCCUUUAAACUAUUUUGACAUAAUUUUCAAUCGUGGCUGAAUGCCGAAUAGGUCUGUGCCUUCGAUGCCUCACCUGCCAAGAAAUUCCAAAAUGGCGGACGAAUGUUUGAUAUGUCACCGUAUUUAAGAAUCAUUUCGCUUAAAAUUUAGUUUUUUCUUCGCAAGUGUGAUGAAAAACAUUGUGUGUAACUCCGGGGGUAAGAAUUUUGCAAACUCGGGUGCUGCAGCUGUCGGGAAUUACCAACCUCGUAUCCAAAAUUUCACUUACCCCCCUCGUUGCACAAUGUACUAUUCAAACUGGAACUCUGCAUUAUUUUAAGAUAACUUGUUUCAAGUUUCAAGGUCUAACCUCAACGGUUUAGGCUGUGCAUUAUCUAUCAAUAUCUAAGUAACGGAAAUGAACGGAAACGGAAAUUUUAUAUAUCUAGAUUAAAUAAAUGUAACACGAGAAAUAGCGUGCGACUUUCAAUCCGAAGAUCGCGGGUUCAAAUCCCGGCUCGUAGCAAUGAGUUUUUUGGAACUACGAACGUUAAGCUCUAAGUACGAACCCUAAUACUAACUACGUAAGCAGACUUGUCUAUUAAAUCUUUGAUGUAUUGUUUUUUAAGUUGACAAUACAUAAAUGACCAAGAUUUAUUACCUAUGGCUAUAAACAUUGCUAUAUAAAUGCAAAGACCUGACAACCACCCACAUAAUCCAACCGACUUCCAAGAUGAAACUGGCUCUCAUUCUUUUCGCUCUGUUGGGCAUGGUGCUGGGUGCCUUCGGGCAGCUGUGCGGCUGCCAGCCCGACCCGAUGGGUCCACUGUGCGCCAGCGACGGCAACUCGUACGACAGCGUGUGCGAGAUGAACUGCAAGACGGCGGGCAGAGGCGUUUACAAGGUCCGCGAUGGACCCUGUCUGUGAGACAUAAAACAGUGUCCGAUGAUAUGAUAUGAUCCUGAGAUUUUUGCUUCAACUAUCGUUUAUUGCCUUCUGAAAGUUUUUCUUUCCUUAUUUUUUGAGAUCCAGUCGCUUUGUACUACCUAUUUUAUGUUUUUUGAUAUUUACUUACCUAUUUCUUCUGUGCAAUAAAAUAUUUAUCAAUUA